GUAGAAGCAUUGCAGUGCAUGGCGGACUCCAUAGAAGGCGAUCUGCAGUGUCUGUAGAAAAUAACGUCUCAUUCUAUGAUAACGAAAACACGAUAUUAUUAUUAUAUUAUAAUAUUCAGGUCCAUUCAAUAUGAAGCUACAGCUAGCAGCUGGCUCCAAAUAGCCCUUGGAUAAAGCCUGUCUAGCUGUUUGCAAUCUUUAUGCUAAGCUAAGCUAGCCAGAUGCUGGCUGUAGCUUCUUAUUUACCACUCAGACAUGACAUUUUCCAAACUACUCCUUUUAAGAUGCCAGUUCUGUAAGCUUGAACAAAUAUUAACAUGUUGACGACUGGGGGUUGUACUAGUAUUUCCUGCCUGUGGCAGUUUGAGUAUAUUUCCACUGGGAUUGAUUGUAAAACUGUGAAUCAUCACCUCAGACACUUUUAGACAGCUCAGUUUGAUAUACAAAUGACACCCAUCCAAUUAUGAGAGCCAGCUAACUCCAAAAAAAGUCAAAGCUUCACAUUUCUUCUUGUGUUUAUAUCAGUGUCACAGAUCGUCUUGCUUUUCCUGAGAUAUGAAACAGUUGGCCCACACAUGUGACUUAUAAUUACACAUCUUAGCCAUUCCCUACAUAAUAAUAAAAAAGACAGCAUAUCAUUGCCAGGAAAUCAGCCAUACUUGUUAUCCUCUUUAACACACGCCAUUGUAAUUAAACCAUUAAAAUCUUGCCCUCAAGGAUUUUCUGUGCUCAAGGAAGAAAGCUAUGACCAAGCAUGUGCAUUGUCGGAGCCUAACAUAGUGACAGCUGGGAUGGUUCACACAACUUGCCAAAAAGAAAUCUGAUUCAUUGUAAGCAGGUGAGUCUCUGUCUCGACUGAGAACAUCAAAGACUCCGCACAUGCAGACACGAAAACCAUAUUGCUUGAUGACAUAGAAAAACCUGUCAGAGGCGUUCAAUCUCUCACUCGCUGCUAUUGACUGUGGCGUAAAGUAAACUAUGGAUUCCCUGGCAUAGCUCUGUAUCAGCACGUACAACUCGUGAACAAAGUGGGGAGGGAGUGGAUCCAGGUAUCAGUCUGAGAGUUGAUGAAGAACACCAGGGCUCUGGCUUUGAUCAUCGCUGAUGUGUGAGUGCCUCAAAGUGGCCUCGUCUGUCAGCAGGUGUGAGCGCACGCCUUUUCCAGCACGGACUCGGAGAAUGUGUCAGGUAUUCUGUCUAAAGUCAUCCAUGCAUGGGUGGACGGGCCUUAACACUGGGCCGAUCCCACCCCGGGAGGCAGGGAUCCCCAGGCUGUGUGGGACGAGGGGAUCCUGGUAACCUGCGUGCAUCCCAGUCGUCAUGCAUCCACCCCCGUGUUCCCCACCGCUGCACUUCACAGAAACAGAUUGCCUUGAGGAUUUAUCACCGAAGAGCUAAAUACAGUUAGGCAUGCAAUGUUGACUCUGUUCUCUUCAAACUGUGUUAUUACUCAAUUGGCAAGCACCGUGUGCAAAACAUAAUUACUCUAUCACACUAUGAGGAUGCUGCUAUUAGUUCAACAACUGUUGAAGCAACACCAUUUGAAAGGGUAAAUGAAACACGGUUAUUAUAUAAUGAUACCGUUGAACAUGCUUCUUAUAAUGUGCCUUGAUUUUAACUUCACUGUUGUCCCAACAAAGGUGUGUAUGCAUUUAUUAUGUGUGAGAGAAAGUGAAUAAAUUUGUGUUUAUGCUUAAGAAAUCAC